AAAAUAGUUAUGAAAGAGAAUAAUUUUAUUAUUCGCUAUAGAGAGCUAACGGUGGUGUAAGUUAGUGCGAAGAUAAGAGUGUCCGCUCUGGAGCUGCAAAUGAUGAAUUUGACAGGAAUCGCCUGUUAUAGCGAUAUCAAGUAGGCUAUUAUAGCAAGUUGGGUGGCAACGCGGGAAUAGAUUCUCGUCCCUUUU
rnacentral:ncRNA from 1 species